rnacentral:rRNA from 1 species
UACGUAGGGACCGAGCGUUGUCCGGAUUCAUUGGGCGUAAAGAGCUCGUAGGCGGCCACUCAAGUCGAAUGUGAAACCUCGAGGCUUAACCUCGAGCCUGCAUUCGAUACUGGGUGGCUAGAGUCUGGUAGGGGGAUCUGGAAUUCCUGGUGUAGCGGUGAAAUGCGUAGAUAUCUGGAGGAAUACCGGUGGCGAAGGCGGCAUCCUGGACCAUAACUGACGCUGAGGCGCGAAAGCUAGGGGAGCAAACGGG